GACGAACGCUGGCGGCGUGCCUAAUACAUGCAAGUUGAGCGCUGAAGGUUGGUACUUGUACCAACUGGAUGAGCAGCGAACGGGUGAGUAACGCGUGGGGAAUCUGCCUUUGAGCGGGGGACAACAUUUGGAAACGAAUGCUAAUACCGCAUAAAAACUUUAAACACAAGUUUUAAGUUUGAAAGAUGCAAUUGCAUCACCCAAAGAUGAUCCCGCGUUGUAUUAGCUAGUUGGUGAGGUAAAGGCUCACCAAGGCGAUGAUACAUAGCCGACCUGAGAGGGUGAUCGGCCAAAUUGGGAAUGAGACACGGCCCAAACUCCUACGGGAGGCAGCAGUAGGGAAUCUUCGGCAAUGGACGGAAGUCUGACCGAGCAACGCCGCGUGAGUGGAGAAGGUUUUCGGAUCGUAAAACUCUGUUGGUAGAGAAGAACGUUGGGGAGAGUGGAAAGCUCAUCAAGUGACGGUAACUACACAGAAAGGGACGGCUAACUACGUG
rnacentral:rRNA from 1 species